GGUUUAAAUCAAACCCAGAUUAGUAAUGACUAAGUUGGUUAAUGCUUGUGUACAUGCUAUUGUUGUUAUGCUUAGCACAAACGUCAAGGUCUAUUUAUGUCAUAUAGAACUGAAUAGCUCCUAUGGCUCUUACCUUAGAGAAGGCUCAAGGCAGUGUAGGAAAUGCAUCGUGCUGUUGCCCAUGGUGCCCUUACCUGUGGUCAAAUAGCAUAAGUCUUCAAGGCUGUCAUUCCUACAUCUACAACCAGUAAUAAAUGUAAGAAUAUGUCAAGGCUGGAUAUUCUAGUGUUUUGGAGCUGCACCUGUUUAUCUCCUUGUGUCCUAUUUUCCACACAGAUUGGCAAAUACUUUUAUCUAGUAUUCUACCCUUCAGAUUUAAGAAUUUGUCCCAGUCAGGAUUUUGGUUAUGACAGUAUGGUAGGAUUCUUCUGAGCUGGCUGUAUGGGGGUAGCACUAAGUCCUUAUUUGUGUUUUUAAUGUAUCCUGUAACUCUAAUCCUCCUCUCUUUUUGGGUUGUUUGAAAGAGUGAUGAUCUGGGCUGGAUUUAAAUGAAAGAACAGACAGCCCAUCAAGCAACGACAACACCACAUUACCCCUUGAAGUGAGAAGAGGUUUAAAAAGGUGUUUAGGAUUAAUGGUACUAAAACCAACCAUUUCCUGAUAGCCAUUUAUUCCUUUGGUCUUGGUUUAUGGCUGUUUGGAGAGCUCAGCUAUUCUGGCAUACUUCUUCUGAAACUGGUAACAAACAGCAGGUUGGCCUUGCUUCCACUAAAUUUGCUAGCUCCAAUGCAUUCCUCAGUAUCUUGUCUCUUGGGGGAGUGGGACUAAGAGAUUAGAGAGAGAGAGACACACCCACCUUUUAGACUAAAAAAGCAUGAGAUGAAAUUGAGUCACUAUCUCUGCAAAAAGUGAAGUGAGCUCUUUAUGAAGUGAGCUGUAGCUCACGAAAGCUUAUGCUCAAAUAAAUUUGUUAGUCUUUAAGGUGCCACAAGUACUCCUUUUCUUUUUGCGAAUACAGACUAAUACGGCUGCUACUCUGAAACCUAUCUCUGCAAAUGAGUCAAUGGAACCGCAGUCACUUCCAUGGUCAGAGAAUUUGGACCAAGAACUGCAUCUGAGCACCAAUUUCUAUUCAAUUUACACAUAGCUACAUCACUGGCCAUGUAGGUUCUUCAUUGUGUAUUCUGAUAGAACAAAUUACAACUGAUUUCCUAUGAAGUUUUAUAGUAAAAGGACAGAGCCUGUAAGAGUAUAUAUACUUCUUGUGUACCGCCCUCAGUCAAUUGCUUUUACCCACAGAGUCAAAAUUAUGCUGGAAGGAAAAUAUUGAACAGAUGGACAUGUUUACUAGUAAUCUAAAUUGUGUGCAGAAGAACCACUUGCCACAUUUCUGGGAAUUGGCAUAGCCAGAGAAGGAUAAAAGCUUAUUACAAUGAAUAACUACAUCAGUCAGCUCAAUUAUAACCAACUUGGUCAGAUGAUCAGUGAAAAAACAGUCUUUCCUUUUUUUAAAUAAAUUUCACUUUUUGCUAUUAUUGUUAGUGAAAUGCAAGAGUUGAGUUUAAGAUAGAAUAGAAUAUAUAGUAUAAAAUAUACUUUGUAAACUGAGGGGUUUUUUUUCCACAUUGUUACAUCUAGCUACAUAUAAAAGAAUUAGCUUUACCUAUCAUUAAUUUGUUCUCAGAUUGGUGCCUUUGAGCACGGCAAGUUGGGUUUGUUACACAAGAACAACCUUUAAGAUGUGGCUACUGACCGUAGCUAGCCAUACUAUAGUCAGCUAUAAUCUAAGAAAAGUAGGACUCAGACUGGCCACUGUUUGGAUGGGAGACCGUAGAAGUAAACCAAAGCACGACAGGAAAAGGUACUGGUGAUUAGCAAGUAUCUUUCUUCCUACCCAGCACUUCACACUUGGUAAUUUGAUUUGUAGUUUAUCCAGCCAUCAAUCUCACUGGAGAUACCACAUCAACUGAUGAACUUUUUGAUCAGAUUGGCUAAAAAAAAACCUGCUCUGCUGCCAGGAAAGAAUAAAAACAUCUUCUCUCAUCGGGAAGCAGAUCGAAGGCUUCUCUGAAAGCAAAGAAAUAACUCCUGAAUUGCUCAAGUGAGAAGAAAUGUGAUGUAAUUUAUGUAAUAAAGGUAAUUUGAGAGUUUGCCUCUUCUCUGGAAA